UAUCCCAUCAUUUUAAAUGAGUAAGGUCGCUCGUAGACUACGAGAUUGAUAGGUCGGAGAUGUAAGUACAGUAAUGUAUUCAGUUGACCGAUACUAAUUGACCGAGGGCUUGAACUG
rnacentral:rRNA from 1 species